rnacentral:rRNA from 1 species
GACGAACCGUGCGAACGUUAUUCGGAAUCACUGGGCUUAAAGCGCGUGUAGGCGGGGCGGCACGUCGGACGCUGAAAUCCCCCGGCUCAACCGGGGAACGGGCGCCGAUACGACCGGCCUGGAGGGACGUAGGGGGGACCUGGAACUUCCGGUGGAGCGGUGAAAUGCGUUGAGAUCGGAAGGAACGCCCGUGGCGAAAGCGAGGUCCUGGACGUCUGCUGACGCUGAGACGCGAAAGCCAGGGGAGCGAACGGG